AGAGUUUGAUCCUGGCUCAGGAUGAACGCUAGCUACAGGCUUAACACAUGCAAGUCGAGGGGCAUCGGGGGAGAGCUUCGGCUUUCCCGCCGGCGACCGGCGCACGGGUGAGUAACGCGUAUCCAACCUGCCCAUGGCUGGGGGAUAACCUUGCGAAAGCAAGCCUAAUACCCCAUGGCCUCAUCCCGGGGCAUCCCGGUUUGAGUAAAGGAUUCCCGGCCAUGGAUGGGGAUGCGUCCGAUUAGCUUGCCGGUGGGGUGACGGCCCACCGGGGCGACGAUCGGUAGGGGUUCUGAGAGGAAGGUCCCCCACACUGGAACUGAGACACGGUCCAGACUCCUACGGGAGGCAGCAGUGAGGAAUAUUGGUCAAUGGGCGCGAGCCUGAACCAGCCAAGUAGCGUGCAGGACGACGGCCCUAUGGGUUGUAAACUGCUUUUGCGCGGGGAUAACUUCCGCCACGUGUGGCGGCUUGCAGGUACCGCGUGAAUAAGGACCGGCUAAUUCCGUGCCAGCAGCCGCGGUAAUACGGAAGGUCCGGGCGUUAUCCGGAUUCAUUGGGUUUAAAGGGAGCGUAGGCCGCGCGUCAAGCGUGCCGUGAAAUGCCGUGGCUCAACCAUGGCACCGCGGCGCGAACUGUCGCGCUUGAGUGGGCUCGAGGCAGGCGGAAUUCGUGGUGUAGCGGUGAAAUGCUUAGAUAUCACGAGGAACCCCGAUUGCGAAGGCAGCCUGCCAGCGCCGCACUGACGCUGAAGCUCGAAGGCGUGGGUAUCGAACAGGAUUAGAUACCCUGGUAGUCCACGCGGUAAACGAUGGACGCUCGCCGUGGGUCCUAUAUGGUUCCGUGGCCAAGCGAAAGCGUUAAGCGUCCCACCUGGGGAGUACGCCGGCAACGGUGAAA
rnacentral:rRNA from 1 species